rnacentral:rRNA from 1 species
GCUACAAUGGGGCGUACAAAGGGCUGCUACUUANNGAUAAGGAGCCAAUCCCAAAAAACGCCUCUCAGUUCAGAUUGGAGUCUGCAACUCGACUCCAUGAAGCUGGAAUCGCUAGUAAUCGUAUAUCAGCAAUGAUGCGGUGAAUACGUUCCCGGACCUUGCACACACCGCCCGUCAAGCCAUGGAAGCUGGGUGUACCUAAAGUCGGUAACCGCAAGGAGCCGCCUAGGGUAAAACUAGUAACUGGGGCUAAGUCGUAACAAGGUAACC